GGCAGCGUAGCCUAGUGGUUAGAGCGUUGGACUAGUAAUCCAAAGGUUGCAAGAUCGAAUCCCCGAGCUU
rnacentral:tRNA from 1 species